ACGGGGGGGCAAGCGUUGUUCGGAAUUACUGGGCGUAAAGGGUUCGUAGGUGGCUCGUUAAGUCAGACGUGAAAUCCCUCAGCUUAACUGGGGAACUGCGUCUGAGACUGAUGAGCUCGAGUGCAGGAGAGGAACGCGGAAUUCCAGGUGUAGCGGUGAAAUGCGUAGAUAUCUGGAGGAACACCGGUGGCGAAGGCGGCGUUCUGGACUGCAACUGACACUGAGGAACGAAAGCCAGGGGAGCAAACGG
rnacentral:rRNA from 1 species